rnacentral:lncRNA from 13 species
UGGCCCCUGAAGCCUGAAGUAGUUACUGCUUGGUCUUUUAUAAAACACAUGUGCUGAUGCCUCUAACAUGAGUUUGGUUUUGAGGAAUGUCAUGUGUAUUUAAGAAAAGGUUGUAUUUUCUUGUAUCAGGGUUCAAAAUUGGAGACAAAAUUAUGUUGUUUAUGUAUUAUAUUAUUGCCAGUUUUGUUCACUCGAUCUGUCUCACUCUGAGGGUGUAUGGCAAAGUCUACUCAUGUUGUUUUGUUUCUGUCUGUGUGGCCUUAAAUCUCCUGCAGUUUCCACCUUGUAUUGGCGGUUCUGUGUUACUUGGUGCAUAAAUAUUCAUAAUUAUUAUAUUGUUAUUGUGAAUGAUGGCUUUUAACAUUAAAAGGUAUCUGUGUGUGUGUAUGUGUGUAUCUGUGUCUGUGUAUCUGCGUGUGUCUGUGUGUAUCUGUGUAUUUGUGUGUGUGUGUCUGUGUAUCUGUGUGUAUGUGUGUGUAUCUGUGUGUAUCUGUGUGUGUAUAUCUGUGUGUGUGUAUGUGUGUGUGUAUGUGUGUGUAUGUGUGUAUCUCUGUGUGUAUGUGUGUGUAUCUGUGUGUGUAUCUGUGUGUGUGUGUAUGUGUGUAUCUGUGUGUGUAUCUCUGUGUGUAUCUGUGUGUGUGUGUAUCUGUGUGUGUGUAUCUGUGUGUGUUUCUGUGUGUAUCUGUUUGUAUAUCUGUGUGUGUGUUUGUGUGUAUGUGUGUAUCUGUGUGUGUGUGUAUCUGUGUAUCUGUGUGUGUAUCUGUGUGUAUCUGUAUCUGUGUGUGUGUAUCUGUGUGUGUUUCUGUGUGUAUCUGUUUGUAUAGCUGUGUGUGUGUAUGUGUGUGUGUAUCUGUGUAUCUAUGUGUGUGUAUGUGUGUGUAUCUGUGUGCGUAUCUGUGUGUAUCUGUGUAACUGUGUGUAUCUGUGUGUGUGUAUCUGUGUGUAUCUGUGUGUGUGUGUGUAUCUGUGGAUCUGUGUGUGUGUGUGGAUCUGUGUGUGUGUGGAUCUGUGUGUGUGUGUGUGUGUGGAUCCAGUGCUUUUGGUUUGUAUUGUAAUUUUUCUGCUUUCAUGUUCAUACCUUUUUUUUUAAUUUCCAGUAACUUGAAAUAAACUCAAUUAUUUUAUUUAUGUUUUAUUUAAU